rnacentral:rRNA from 1 species
UACGUAGGGUGCGAGCGUUAAUCGGAAUUACUGGGCGUAAAGCGUGCGCAGGCGGUUUUGUAAGCCAGAUGUGAAAUCCCCGGGCUCAACCUGGGAAUGGCAUUUGGGACUGCAAGGCUGGAGUUUGGCAGAGGAGACUGGAAUUCCCGGUGUAGCAGUGAAAUGCGUAGAUGUCGGGAGGAAUACCGAUGGCGAAGGCAGGUCUCUGGGCUAUAACUGACGCUCAUGCACGAAAGCGUGGGGAGCAAACAGG